rnacentral:rRNA from 1 species
AGGGUUUGAUUAUGGCUCAGGAUGAACGCUGGCGGCGUGCUUAACACAUGCAAGUCGAACGAACCUUCGGGUUAGUGGCGGACGGGUGAGUAACGCGUGAGAAUCUGCCCUCAGGAGGGGGAUAACGGUUGGAAACGACCGCUAAUACCCCAUAUGCCUAUUGGUGAAAUGAAUUUCGCCUGAGGAUGAGCUCGCGUCUGAUUAGCUAGUUGGUGAGGUAAUGGCUCACCAAGGCUUCGAUCAGUAGCUGGUCUGAGAGGAUGAUCAGCCACACUGGGACUGAGACACGGCCCAGACUCCUACGGGAGGCAGCAGUGGGGAAUUUUCCGCAAUGGGCGAAAGCCUGACGGAGCAACGCCGCGUGAGGGACGAAGGCCUCUGGGCUGUAAACCUCUUUUCUCAAGGAAGAAGAUAUGACGGUACUUGAGGAAUAAGCCACGGCUAAUUCCGUGCCAGCCGCCGCGGUAAUAC